UCCAGUUUUAUCAUUUGUUUUCUUUGUGUUCUUUUUGCAAUUAUGAAAUUAUCUAGGGUCAGUGAUUGAUGGUGCUAUAGCUUCAGAAAAAUCUAACUAUUGUGUUGUUCUAGGGUUUGAUUUGUUUUUGCAAGCUUGAACCCUGUGUUUCGUACACUAUUGAUUUUCAUUAAAUCCAUCGUUAUAUUCUUCUUGUUGAAUUCUGCUCAUCUUUUUCUUUUCAACUCUCGUGAAUCAACUUGCUUUUCAUCGUAAUCUUCACAUAUUGUUGCUUCUACUGCUCAUUUUAUCUAGGAAAUUUCGGACUAGUUUGUAAAUCUGUUUUUGCUUAAUUUUCAGUGUUAGGAGCCAUUUUUUUUACACAUAUUGUUGCUUCUACUGCUCAUUUUAUCUAGGAAAUUUCGGACUAGUUUGUAAAUCUGUUUUUGCUUAAUUUUCAGUGUUAGGAGCCUUUUUUUUUUUUAUGUUAUGGAAUUUGGUUGUUUGGUUUGAAUUUUUGGAACAUGGGUGUAUGUCCAAAAUGGACAAUAUCAUACCAUUUGUGGAGAUAUGUGAAUGUCCUUUGUCCCUAAUAAUUGGUAGCCGAGCCUUGGUCUAGGUCCAACUGUGUGAGUGAAAUCUUCAAAUUUGAACAAAGAAACUUUGUGAGUCUUGUUUGUGUUCUAGUCUGGUGAUAAGUAUACGUGUGGUCUAUGCUUGUGCUCGGGUGAGCAAGUGACCGAAGGUGAAGGGAAGGUGUUUGAAAUUUAGAGCAAGCUCUCGUGGUGGGAGUGAAAUAGAUUUGUUCGAGGGUAAGCUCAAAGUGGUACUUGGUGGAGGAGAGGAUUGUAGGAGUGCGUACAAAAUCACAUAUUGAUUGGAGAAGAGUGAUCAUGGGUAUACACGUGUGGGCAACUUUAUCCACUGGUUGCAGAUAUUUGCAGGAAUCGAAAUAAUGCCAAUGAAUUUAGUUCCAUCAUAAAGUGCAAAAUUUUCCCAAAAGAUUUAGUUACUACUUUUCACUUUAAUUUUAUUGUAUUCUCCAUUAUUACUUGUUAUAGAGUAAAUUUGUUUCUAGUUUUUUUUUAUUUGAGAGUAUCCGGACCAACUUAUGCAUACCUCGACUAAUCUCGGAGACAACCCAUUUAACACUACAACAUUUUUGGGUGUUGAGGAAACUUGUAGGAAAUUAAUUCCUAAGAAUCGAUAACCUCUUAGAUAAUGAGACUAUGUUUCCUUUUUUACUACUAGUUCUUUGACAAUGGUUUACUCUUAAUUGAAACCAAUUCAUGGUAUACACAUUUGACAAGACUUUGUACCUUGUAUUUCGAUCUUCUGCUUGUAUAUGACUUACUAUUUGCAGAUUGGACCUGCUUCUAUUUCAGAGUUGCUUUCAGAGAUCCCAAGUGAAUCUUCUGUUCUAAUGAACGAACAUAACAGAAAGAAAAUAAAAGUUAGAAAAUUAUGAAUAAACAAGAAUAGUAUAGAAGAAAGACUCAUACUCCAAAAACUAAAAAGUAAACAACUCCAGUGUUAACAUGUUCUUGUUUGCGUGUGUGUGCUUUCUUCUCUUGCUUGCAGAUUAUAGAAUAUGCAGAAAAUUGGUUAUCUUCAUCUACCACUGCUGCUGAAUUGUCUGAAUUUCGUCACCUUUACAAGGAAUUCACUUUGGCAUGAUAAUCGAUCGGCUUUCAAUUCGGUUUUUCAUGCUCGGACUAGACCAGGCAUGUAAAAAUUGAUCUUCACUUUGUUAGGGAACCAGUAGUUUAAAGGUGUAUGACUCCCAUAUGUUUCUAACUGAGUGAUUAACUAAGUCUCAGUUUAUUGAAUGCUUUGAAACUCUUGCCUUCCAAACUUCUGUCUCCUACCAACAUAUCAUAAAGUUUGCGGACACAUGUGAGGUGUAUCCAUCAAUACAUUAUUGUAUUUGAAGUCUCCUGUAAAUCUGGUAUGAUACUAAUACAUAUAUAUAUAGAUCUUGUAAUAAUUUGUCAUUUUAUUAUUUAUUUAUUCCCUCAAGCCUGCGAGUAAUGCAGUAAAUAAAUUCAAAUUUAGUUACCAUUUUA